UACGUAGGGUGCAAGCGUUUGUCCGGAUUUAUUGGGCGUAAAGAGCUCGUAGGCGGUCUGUCGCGUCGGAUGUGAAAACCCAGGGCUCAACCCUGGGCCUGCAUUCGAUACGGGCAGACUAGAGUAUGGCAGGGGAGACUGGAAUUCCUGGUGUAGCGGUGAAAUGCGCAGAUAUCAGGAGGAACACCGGUGGCGAAGGCGGGUCUCUGGGCCAAAACUGACGCUGAGGAGCGAAAGCGUGGGGAGCGAACAGG
rnacentral:rRNA from 1 species